GCUAGAAGAUGACGAGUGGCGGACGGGUGAGUAAUGCUUGGGAACUUGCCUUUGGGAGGGGGAUAACAGUUGGAAACGACUGCUAAUACCGCAUAAUGUCUUCGGACCAAACGGGGCUUCGGCUCCGGCGCAAAGAGAGGCCCAAGUGAGAUUAGCUAGUUGGUAAGGUAACGGCUUACCAAGGCGACUAUCUCUAGCUGUUCUGAGAGGAAGAUCACCCACACUGGGACUGAGACACGGCCCACACUCCUACGGGAGGCAGCAGUGGGGAAUAUUGCACAAUGGGGGAAACCCUGAUGCAGCCAUGCCGCGUGUGUGAAGAAGGCCUUCGGGUUGUAAAGCACUUUCAGUUGUGAGGAAAAGUUAGUAUUUAAUACCUGCUAGCCGUGACGUUAACAACAGAAGAAGCACCGGCUAACUCCGUGCCAGCAGCCGCGGUAAUACGGAGGGUGCGAGCGUUAAUCGGAAUUACUGGGCGUAAAGCGCACGCAGGCGGUUUGUUAA
rnacentral:rRNA from 1 species